CAAGUGGAAAAGGGGGUGUGAAUAUGAGACAGGGGGUCUGCAACUGAAUUUUAAUACUUAUAACAGAUUGGACCAAAGCCUAGGUGGGAAAGGAGGCUCGAUUUAGCAGAAACCGGGGUGCAGAAAAGGUUUUNUGUUUGAUUGCAGAUUGGGUCUAAGCCCAUAUAGAAAGGGGUAGUGCAAGCAUGAAUGCAGCGCGUCCGGAAGAAAAAAAUUCAGCCCACCAGCCAAACCCGCAACAUCUUCUGACCUAAAAACCUAUAGGGGUCAAGCUUCCUCCACUUCAUUUCAACACUUCAGCCUCAAAAGACCUAGAGUCUCUCCCUCACUCUGCCAGCAACGUCAGGAGUCNUCGGUGACUACCACCGGCCANGAGUCACCCUCCCUCGCGCUAGGGUUACGCCACCGCGCCACCCCUCGCGCCAACCUCGACCUCGCCGGCGAAAACGGGUGUCACCGGAGCCAAAGCCGGCCACCGUGUCGUCUCCCAUCUCCCUCUCGCUUCGUCCUAGGAUUGGGGUUUCCACCCUUGAGCACCGUCGGCCACCACUGCUUCGAAUCCAACCACCGUGCCACCCUCUUCUCUCUUCGACGCCGACGAGCUNUGUCGCUGCUGGUNAGCUCCUCUUCCUCUCUCCUCAUCUUCUUCGCGUGAGAGGAAACAUCGCACUCCACGCCACGCCUCCGACGCCACCACGAGGCCGGACGCCGCCGCGAAUACCGGUUGUCGCGCCGUCAAGCUCUUCUCCCCUGCUCAAUGCUGCAACUCCCAACCGCUAUUACCGACGCGCAUCACUAAUCUUCCCCCUUUUCCACUAUUACUUCCUUGAUCGCUGAAUGGGGCUGAAUAGAGGAUGGAAGAAGGUAAACGGCGCUCGGUCAUGGAGAGAGUGAUGGUUGGCAUUGGAGUGUUAUGUGUGAGGAUUGAGGGAGGUUGAAUGGUGAUGAGGGUUGUGAUAGUGAGUAUGAAAGUGAUAGUUGACGAUAGACGAGUGGAAGACGAAAAUACAGAACCAGACCAAAUAACAUCCCAAUAUAGUCAUAUGUUUUUUCCAAACACCAGCAGAUAAACCAAGCAAAGCAGUAUCAAACUAAGGAUAAGCCAAUCACAGUACUAAUAUCCAAGAUUGUAAACAUUCAUGUUUGUGAGCAGUGAAGCUUUAAGGAUGAGGACUUACCUUUUCCGUUUGCGUUUUACUCUUGUAAGCCCUGUAAUCUUUUUUCUUGUGAUUUAACUCCACUUCUUUUUCAAUGGCCUUGGUGUUAGACUAGAGAAACACUGCUUCGUAAUUGUAAGGAGAGUGGCCAUGAAAAAUGGAUUCCGAUUUUUGGUCGAGGUGAAUCAUCGUAAUGGUACUCUCUAGAGUGCGGUAAUGAGAUGUUGGAGGUGAAUAAUUGGAAGUGAAAAGGGAAAAAUGGUUGGAGUCGAGAGGAGCCAAGANAGUCUAGGGGUUUCUGUUGAGUGAGUCCACAGUGAUUGGAGAAGNCGUCCGUGCCUUCUNUCUGAUGGUCAAGGUUCUCAUGAAGCCAAUUCCCCUCUGCCUCUUGGAUCAUACAGGCGUAUCCUCUGACUUGAGAUAUCUUUUUUUGUCCUUUUCCUUUUUCAUGUUUUUCAUGUUUUCACUAUAUCGUUGGAAGAAGCUUGUUCAAAAUAUCAUUCCCCUUUGAUGUAUGUGUUGUCUGUGCUUUUCGUUGCAGGAGAGUUGAAUGUGUUAUGUUGUAAGGAAGCUUAAUUGGUGCUUGGUGAUUGCGUGACUGAGAAAGGGAAGAAAGCAGCAAACCUUGGCGUUUUUUU